UCACUUUCAACAACGGAUCUCUUGGUUCUCGCAUCGAUAAAAAACGUAGCAAAGUGCGAUAAGUAAUGUGAAUUGCANAAUNCCGUGGAUCAUCGAAUUUUUGAACGCAAAUUGCACUCUUUUCACNAANAGUAUGCCUGUUUGAGGGUCAUU
rnacentral:rRNA from 1 species